rnacentral:rRNA from 1 species
CCUACGGGUGGCUGCAGUGGGGAAUAUUGCACAAUGGGGGGAACCCUGAUGCAGCGACGCCGCGUGGGUGAAGGAGUAUUUCGGUAUGUAAAGCCCUAUCAGCAGGGAAGAACAAUGACGGUACCUGACGUAGAAGCACCGGCUAAAUACGUGUCAGCAGCCGCGGUAAUACGUAUGGGGCAAGCGUUGUCCGGAUUGACUGGGUGUAAAGGGAGUGCAGGCGGCGCGUUAAGCCUGGUGUGAAAGCCCGCGGCCCAACCGCGGGGCUGCAUUGGGAACUGGCGCGCUGGAGUGCAGGAGGGGUAGGCGGAAUGCCUAGUGUAGCGGUGAAAUGCGUAGAUAUUAGGAGGAACACCAGUGGCGAAGGCGGCCUACUGGACGGUGACUGACGCUGAGGCUCGAAAGCGUGGGGAGCAAACAGGAGUAGAUACCCUUGUAGUC